rnacentral:rRNA from 2 species
CUAUACAUGCAGUCGAACGAACUCUGGUAUUGAUUGGUGCUUGCAUCAUGAUUUACAUUUGAGUGAGUGGCGAACUGGUGAGUAACACGUGGGAAACCUGCCCAGAAGCGGGGGAUAACACCUGGAAACAGAUGCUAAUACCGCAUAACAACUUGGACCGCAUGGUCCGAGUUUGAAAGAUGGCUUCCGCUAUCACUUUUGGAUGGUCCCCCGGCGUAUUAGCUAGAUGGUGAGGUAACGGCUCACCAUGGCAAUGAUACGUAGCCCACCUGAGAGGGUAAUCCGCCACAUUGGGACUGAGACACGGCCCAAACUCCUACGGGAGGCAGCAGUAGGGAAUCUUCCACAAUGGACGAAAGUCUGAUGGAGCAACGCCCCGUGAGUGAAGAAGGGUUUCGGCUCGUAAAACUCUGUUGUUAAAGAAGAACAUAUCUGAGAGUAACUGUUCCGGUAUUGACGGUAUUUAACCAGAAAGCCCCGGCUAACUACCUGCCCGCCGCCGCGGUAAUACGUAGGUGGCAAGCGUUGUCCGGAUUUAUUGGGCCUAAAGCGAGCGCAGGCGGUUUUUUAAGUCUGAUGUGAAAGCCUUCCGCUCCACCGAAGAAGUGCAUCGGAAACUGGGAAACCUGAGUGCAGAAGAGGACAGUGGAACUCCCUGUGUAGCGGUGAAAUGCGUAGAUAUAUGGAAGAACAUCAGUGGCAAAGGCGGCUGUCUGGUCUGUAACUGACGCUGAGCUCGAAAGUAUGGGUAGCAAACAGGAUUAGAUAGCUCUGGUAGUCCAUACCGUAAACGAUGAAUGCUAAGUGUUGGAGGGUUUCUGCUCUUUCGUGCUGCAGCUAACGACAUUAAGCCUUCCGCCUGGGGAGUACGGCCGCUAGGCUGAAACUCAAAGGAAUUUGAACGGG